CACUAUCGUUAACUGAAUACAUAGGUUAACGAGGCGAACCGGGGGAACUGAAACAUCUAAGUACCCCGAGGAAAAGAAAUCAACCGAGAUUCCCCCAGUAGCGGCGAGCGAACGGGGAGCAGCCCAGAGUCUGAAUCAGCUUGUGUGUUAGUGGAACGGUCUGGAAAGUCCGACGGUACAGGGUGAUAGUCCCGUACACCAAAAUGCACAGGUUGUGAACUCGAAGAGUAGGGCGGGACACGUGGUAUCCUGUCUGAAUAUGGGGGGACCAUCCUCCAAGGCUAAAUACUCCUGACUGACCGAUAGUGAACCAGUACCGUGAGGGAAAGGCGAAAAGAACCCCGGCGAGGGGAGUGAAAAAGAACCUGAAACCGUGUACGUACAAGCAGUGGGAGCACCUUCGGGUGUGACUGCGUACCUUUUGUAUAAUGGGUCAGCGACUUAUAUUCUGUAGCAAGGUUAACCGUAUAGGGGAGCCGCAGGGAAACCGAGUCUUAACUGGGCGUUAAGUUGCAGGGUAUAGACCCGAAACCCGGUGAUCUAGCCAUGGGCAGGUUGAAGGUUGGGUAACACUAACUGGAGGACCGAACCGACUAAUGUUGAAAAAUUAGCGGAUGACUUGUGGCUGGGGGUGAAAGGCCAAUCAAACCGGGAGAUAGCUGGUUCUCCCCGAAAGCUAUUUAGGUAGCGCCUCGUGAACUCAUCUUCGGGGGUAGAGCACUGUUUCGGCUAGGGGGUCAUCCCGACUUACCAACCCGAUGCAAACUACGAAUACCGAAGAAUGUUAUCACGGGAGACACACGGCGGGUGCUAACGUCCGUCGUGAAGAGGGAAACAACCCAGACCGCCAGCUAAGGUCCCAAAGUCAUGGUUAAGUGGGAAACGAUGUGGGAAGGCACAGACAGCCAGGAUGUUGGCUUAGAAGCAGCCAUCAUUUAAAGAAAGCGUAAUAGCUCACUGGUCGAGUCGGCCUGCGCGGAAGAUGUAACGGGGCUAAACCAUGCACCGAAGCUGCGGCAGCGACACUAUGUGUUGUUGGGUAGGGGAGCGUUCUGUAAGCCUGCGAAGGUGUGCUGUGAGGCAUGCUGGAGGUAUCAGAAGUGCGAAUGCUGACAUAAGUAACGAUAAAGCGGGUGAAAAGCCCGCUCGCCGGAAGACCAAGGGUUCCUGUCCAACGUUAAUCGGGGCAGGGUGAGUCGACCCCUAAGGCGAGGCCGAAAGGCGUAGUCGAUGGGAAACAGGUUAAUAUUCCUGUACUUGGUGUUACUGCGAAGGGGGGACGGAGAAGGCUAUGUUAGCCGGGCGACGGUUGUCCCGGUUUAAGCAUGUAGGCUGGUUAUCCAGGCAAAUCCGGAUAAUCAAGGCUGAGGUGUGAUGACGAGGCACUACGGUGCUGAAGUAACAAAUGCCCUGCUUCCAGGAAAAGCCUCUAAGCAUCAGGUAACAUCAAAUCGUACCCCAAACCGACACAGGUGGUCAGGUAGAGAAUACCAAGGCGCUUGAGAGAACUCGGGUGAAGGAACUAGGCAAAAUGGUGCCGUAACUUCGGGAGAAGGCACGCUGGUGUGUAGGUGAAGUCCCUGCGGAUGGAGCUGAGACCAGUCGAAGAUACCAGCUGGCUGCAACUGUUUAUUAAAAACACAGCACUGUGCAAACACGAAAGUGGACGUAUACGGUGUGACGCCUGCCCGGUGCCGGAAGGUUAAUUGAUGGGGUUAUCCGUAAGGAGAAGCUCUUGAUCGAAGCCCCGGUAAACGGCGGCCGUAACUAUAACGGUCCUAAGGUAGCGAAAUUCCUUGUCGGGUAAGUUCCGACCUGCACGAAUGGCGUAAUGAUGGCCAGGCUGUCUCCACCCGAGACUCAGUGAAAUUGAACUCGCUGUGAAGAUGCAGUGUACCCGCGGCAAGACGGAAAGACCCCGUGAACCUUUACUAUAGCUUGACACUGAACAUUGAGCCUUGAUGUGUAGGAUAGGUGGGAGGCUUUGAAGCGUGGACGCCAGUCUGCGUGGAGCCAACCUUGAAAUACCACCCUUUAAUGUUUGAUGUUCUAACGUUGGCCCCUGACCGGGGUUGCGGACAGUGUCUGGUGGGUAGUUUGACUGGGGCGGUCUCCUCCCAAAGCGUAACGGAGGAGCACGAAGGUUAGCUAAUCCUGGUCGGACAUCAGGAGGUUAGUGCAAUGGCAUAAGCUAGCUUGACUGCGAGCGUGACGGCGCGAGCAGGUGCGAAAGCAGGUCAUAGUGAUCCGGUGGUUCUGAAUGGAAGGGCCAUCGCUCAACGGAUAAAAGGUACUCCGGGGAUAACAGGCUGAUACCGCCCAAGAGUUCAUAUCGACGGCGGUGUUUGGCACCUCGAUGUCGGCUCAUCACAUCCUGGGGCUGAAGUAGGUCCCAAGGGUAUGGCUGUUCGCCAUUUAAAGUGGUACGCGAGCUGGGUUUAGAACGUCGUGAGACAGUUCGGUCCCUAUCUGCCGUGGGCGCUGGAGAAUUGAGGGGGGCUGCUCCUAGUACGAGAGGACCGGAGUGGACGCAUCACUGGUGUUCGGGUUGUCAUGCCAAUGGCACUGCCCGGUAGCUAAAUGCGGAAGAGAUAAGUGCUGAAAGCAUCUAAGCACGAAACUUGCCCCGAGAUGAGUUCUCCCUGAGACUUUAAGUCUCCUGAAGGAACGUU
rnacentral:rRNA from 1 species